UACGUAGGGUGCGAGCGUUAAUCGGAAUUACUGGGCGUAAAGCGUGCGCAGGCGGUUUUGUAAGCCAGAUGUGAAAUCCCCGGGCUUAACCUGGGAACUGCAUUUGGGACUGCAAGGCUUGAGUACGGCAGAGGGGGGUAGAAUUCCUGGUGUAGCAGUGAAAUGCGUAGAGUAUCAGGAGGAAUACCGAUGGCGAAGGCAGCCCCCUGGGUCGAUACUGACGCUCAUGCACGAAAGCGUGGGGAGCAAACAGG
rnacentral:rRNA from 1 species